CUACGGGGGGCACCAGUGAGGAAUAUUGCACAAUGGGGGGAACCCUGAUGCAGCAACGCCGCGUGGAGGAUGACGCAUUUCGGUGUGUAAACUCCUUUUAUAUGUCAAGAAAAUGACGGUAGCAUAUGAAUAAGCACCGGCUAACUCCGUGCCAGCAGCCGCGGUAAUACGGAGGGUGCAGGCGUUACUCGGAAUCACUGGGCGUAAAGGACGCGUAGGCGGGCUGGAAAGUCAGGUGUGAAAUCCUACAGCUUAACUGUAGAACUGCACUUGAAACUUCUAAUCUAGAGUAUGGGAGGGGGAGAUGGAAUUAGUGGUGUAGGGGUAAAAUCCGUAGAUAUCACUAGGAAUACCUAAAGCGAAGGCGAUCUCCUGGAACAUUACUGACGCUAAGGCGUGAAAGCGUGGGGAGCAAACAGGAUUAGAUACCCCUGUAGUC
rnacentral:rRNA from 1 species